AUUGAACGCUGGCGGCAAGCCUAACACAUGCAAGUCGAGCGGAUGAAGGGAGCUUGCUCCUGGAUUCAGCGGCGGACGGGUGAGUAAUGCCUAGGAAUCUGCCUGGUAGUGGGGGAUAACGUCCGGAAACGGGCGCUAAUACCGCAUACGUCCUGAGGGAGAAAGUGGGGGAUCUUCGGACCUCACGCUAUCAGAUGAGCCUAGGUCGGAUUAGCUAGUUGGUGGGGUAAAGGCCUACCAAGGCGACGAUCCGUAACUGGUCUGAGAGGAUGAUCAGUCACACUGGAACUGAGACACGGUCCAGACUCCUACGGGAGGCAGCAGUGGGGAAUAUUGGACAAUGGGCGAAAGCCUGAUCCAGCCAUGCCGCGUGUGUGAAGAAGGUCUUCGGAUUGUAAAGCACUUUAAGUUGGGAGGAAGGGCAGUAAGUUAAUACCUUGCUGUUUUGACGUUACCAACAGAAUAAGCACCGGCUAACUUCGU
rnacentral:rRNA from 1 species